rnacentral:rRNA from 1 species
GGACGCAUCACUGGUGUUCGGGUUGUCAUGCCAAUGGCACUGCCCGGUAGCUAAAUGCGGAAGAGAUAAGUGCUGAAAGCAUCUAAGCACGAAACUUGCCCCGAGAUGAGUUCUCCCUGACCCUUUAAGGGUCCUGAAGGAACGUUGAAGACGACGACGUUGAUAGGCCGGGUGUGUAAGCGCAGCGAUGCGUUGAGCUAACCGGUACUAAUGAACCGUGAGGCUUAACCUUACAACGCCGAAGGUGUUU